rnacentral:misc_RNA from 1 species
GAGGCCUAAAACACUUGGGUGGAUUUGAGCUUUCAGGUGAAAGAAUUCUAUCAGUUACAUCGGCUAGUCAAAUUGAAAACGAAUGUGAGAAAGAAGCAACGUUACAAAAAGUUACAAAAUCGAAGGGGGCCGAUGCAAGUCCCCGCGAGCUACAAAACGUAUCCCUCCUAUUCAACAACUAAACCUUAAAUGAUACAAUUUUCUUCCACUUUUUUUCACAUUUUCCUUUUCCCUUUCCCCCUAUUUCUCACUUUCUCUUUCUUGUUGCCUCUUUCUUAGGUAUACCCUUUUGGUUUUUCACCUCAAAGAACCUUGCUUCACUGUUGUAUUUCUGAAUGUUGCCAGAAAUGGGGUCAGAAGGAUCAUCAAGGGUUGUAGUCCCAAGGAAUUUCAGAUUAUUGGAGGAGCUUGAAAGAGGAGAAAAAGGAAUAGGGGAUGGAACUGUCAGCUAUGGGAUGGAUGAUGCAGAUGACGUGUACAUGCAGUCAUGGACAGGAACUAUCAUUGGCCCUCCUAAUACUGUACACGAAGGGCGCAUCUAUCAGCUGAAACUAUUUUGUGGAAAGGAGUAUCCGGAUCAGCCACCUGGUGUAAGGUUCCAGUCCAGGAUUAACAUGAGCUGCGUAAAUUAUGAAACUGGUGUGGUAGAGCCAAGUCAUUUCCCCAUGCUUGCUGACUGGAAGAGGGAAAACACAAUGGAGGAUAUACUGAUGCAGUUGAAAAAGGAAAUGACGUCUCCCCAAAAUCGAAAACUAGCUCAGCCUUCUGAUGGCAAUGAAGAGGGCCGGGUGGAUCAAAAAGGCCUAGUUGUGAAAUGCUGCAUUAUGUAAGUUUGAUAAAAUACUGAAAGAUAAUAAUGUUUGUAUAUAACCUUAAAAAAAUACGUAGACGAUUCCAUAGUAUCGUAGCAUGUAUAACUAUGUGUAUGUUUUGUAUUUCUUAUUGAAUCCUCCUUAAAUUAUGGGAUGGAUUGAUGUUUAAUAACCAAUUAUCCAACACUCUGAAUAAGGCUAACUAUAGUUUUCAUAUUUAUGAUUUGC